rnacentral:rRNA from 1 species
UAGUAACGGCGAGUGAAGCGGGAAGAGCUCAAGCUUAAAAUCUCCGUGCAAGUUUUGUGCGGCGAAUUGUAGUCUAUAGAGGCGUGGUCAGCGUGGGCGCUUGGGGCAAGUUCCUUGGAAGAGGACAGCAUGGAGGGUGAUACUCCCGUUCAUCCCUGAGUGGCUCGUGCGUACGACCCGUUUUCUUUGAGUCGCGUUGUUUGGGAAUGCAGCGCAAAGUAGGUGGUAAAUUCCAUCUAAAGCUAAAUAUUGGUGCGAGACCGAUAGCGAACAAGUACCGUGAGGGAAAGAUGAAAAGAACUUUGAAAAGAGAGUUAAAGAGUACCUGAAACUGCUGAAAGGGAACCGAAUCGUUUCCAGUGUCUAUAAUCUGUGGCAUAUUUCAUUGGCGAGCGUUUGCGUGCGUGUGCUGUGGCAGUGGCUUUUUUGGCUGCGCCUGGUGUGUGUGGUGUGAGUGUUUGCUGGUGCCCUGUGCUGCGGUGGGACGUCAAGGUCAGUUCGUAUGCUGCGGGAAAUGGCUGCCGAGGAGGUAGGGCUUACGCUCCGCGUUUGUCUGUUAUAUCUUGGUGGACGAGUCGUCGCGGUUGGGACUGAGGUGCCUACAACGUGCUUUUGAGUGGGUUUGUGUCUCCGUGUGCGCCGUGUGCGGAUAGCUUGCUAUGCGUGUGUGGUUGUGUGUGGAUUGAUGCGGGCCUUAACUUGUCGCCGUUC